UACGUAGGUGGCAAGCGUUGUCCGGAUUUAUUGGGCGUAAAGGGAGCGCAGGCGGUGACUUAAGUCUGAUGUGAAAGCCCACGGCUCAACCGUGGAAGGUCAUUGGAAACUGGGGAACUUGAGUGCAGAAGAGGAGAGUGGAAUUCCAUGUGUAGCGGUGAAAUGCGUAGAUAUAUGGAGGAACACCAGUGGCGAAGGCGACUCUCUGGUCUGUAACUGACGCUGAGGCACGAAAGCGUGGGGAGCAAACAGGAUUAGA
rnacentral:rRNA from 1 species